GAUGAACGCUGGCGGCGUGCGUAAUACAUGCAAGUCGAGCGAACGGACGAGAAGCUUGCUUUUCUGAUGUUAGCGGCGGACGGGUGAGUAACACGUGGAUAACCUACCUAUAAGACUGGGAUAACUUCGGGAAACCGGAGCUAAUACCGGAUAAUAUUUUGAACCGCAUGGUUCAAAAGUGAAAGACGGUCUUGCUGUCACUUAUAGAUGGAUCCGCGCUGCAUUAGCUAGUUGGUAAGGUAACGGCUUACCAAGGCAACGAUGCAUAGCCGACCUGAGAGGGUGAUCGGCCACACUGGAACUGAGACACGGUCCAGACUCCUACGGGAGGCAGCAGUAGGGAAUCUUCCGCAAUGGGCGAAAGCCUGACGGAGCAACGCCGCGUGAGUGAUGAAGGUCUUCGGAUCGUAAAACUCUGUUAUUAGGGAAGAACAUAUGUGUAAGUAACUGUGCACAUCUUGACGGUACCUAAUCAGAAAGCCACGGCUAACUACGUG
rnacentral:rRNA from 1 species